UGGGGAAUAUUGGACAAUGGGCGAAAGCCUGAUCCAGCCAUGCCGCGUGUGUGAAGAAGGUCUUCGGAUUGUAAAGCACUUUAAGUUGGGAGGAAGGGCAUUAACCUAAUACGUUAGUGUUUUGACGUUACCGACAGAAUAAGCACCGGCUAACUCUGUGCCAGCAGCCGCGGUAAUACAGAGGGUGCAAGCGUUAAUCGGAAUUACUGGGCGUAAAGCGCGCGUAGGUGGUUUGUUAAGUUAGAUGUGAAAUCCCCGGGCGCAACCUGGGAACUGCAUUCAAAACUGACUGACUAGAGUAUGGUAGAGGGUGGUGGAAUUUCCUGUGUAGCGGUGAAAUGCGUAGAUAUAGGAAGGAACACCAGUGGCGAAGGCGACCACCUGGACUAAUACUGACACUGAGGUGCGAAAGCGUGGGGAGCAAACA
rnacentral:rRNA from 1 species